UGUGCCUGAACGGCUGAUGCGGUGUGGGCGGGGCAGGGAGUGGUUCCCUUAAGAACAUUAACAAAGGCUGUGGAGACUGUUUAGAAAUAACAAGCUGCUUUCGGCUUUCGGCUUUCAACACCUUUACUGGGAUACAACCUUCCUGACUAUAUAUCCUAUACACAUCCAACAUUAACAUAUGAUAGUCAAGCUUGCUGUACAGAGGUCAUGUCUGGUGUGUGAAGCCUAUCCAUCAACCUCCCAAUGCCAGCCUUAGUCCUUCUGAGGUACAGAUGAGUGUCCUCACUGAGAUGAAGGCCCAUCUCAUCUUCUACCUAUUUUUAUGUGGAUGCAAUGUUAUAGAACCAGAUGUUUUUUGACAGUUCAUUAUACUCACACUACAGAUACUAUUGGUGAAGAGAUCGUCAUGUAUCUGGUGUGGCAGUUCUCGUGCCAGAUUUUCUAAGUGAUUCGUUUCUUGGUUGAACUGUG